CGUGUCUCACAGCUCGCCGCCUUACGCCGCUUCUGUAGGGAGCAGCUCAGAGACAUUAGGAAAAUCCCACUGAUUGACCAUUGCUUGAGCAAUGGCAACACAUUGCCACGUUUUAGGUGUUCAGUACCUCGUCAUUGCAUGUGGUCCUCCCAAGGAGUCCGUGAGAUAAGGAAGUCAUGACACGCAUUUGCAGGUUUGCUAAAAUCUCUCAAAAGUUGGUCUUCAGACCACCUGCAUCGGAUGUUACUGAGACCUUCAUAUAAAUCUACAUUAUCUCCGUUAUUCUUCAGGACAACCUGUGAAAUAGGACCUAUAAUUAACUCCAUUGAAGAGAUAAGGAAAUGGAGGUUCAUAGAGGCCAAGGAUGGCCCAAGGCCACACAGCUGGUAAGUAGCAGUGCCAAGACCUGAACCCAGAUCUGUAUGACUCCACAGCUCAUGCUUUUAAUUUAUGUAGACCGGUGCUUUAUUCAAUCUCAUUUUUCUUGUCCCAAUGUUUAUCUUUUAAAAAUGUCACCAGUUCUUGAAGACCCAGCCAUCACCACCUCUCAGUGAAGCCUUCUUUGGUCUGUCCAGUGCCACAGGUGCAGUCUCUCUUCUGAACUUUUUUUUUAAAGUAGGCUUCAUGCCCAGCAUGGAGCCCAAUGUGGGCUUAAACUCACAACCCUGAGAUCAAGACCCAAGCUGAGGUCAACAGUCAGACACUUAACUGACUAAGCCACCCAGGCACCCCACUUUUCUGAACGUUUUUAGCCUGUGUUGUUUGGACCUGUUUUGCAAUCUCAGUACUCUCUGCUCUGUUUUGUUGUUACUGUGCUCCAUGAGCUCCUGGAUGGUGGGAACUUUGCACCCCCCAGAGCACCCGGCACAGGGUCAUUUUCAUUAUUUGCAUGGGAAAGUGUAUGUGGACUGAAUGAGCAAGCUCUGGCAGGACAAGACAGAACAAAUGAAAGACUUGCCAGAUGACUUCUUUCUCUGAUCUUCUUCUCCCUACUGUAAUCUCCACCUGAAUUUCUAUAACCUAAUUAAGGAUGACAAUGUUGUUGAAACCAAUGUUGGCCAAGAAGUCAAAUCUCCUGAACUGACAGACACCAAGAGUCUUGGUUUCAGCUCAGGUCAUGAUCUCAGGGUCAUGAGAUGGAGCCCGGUGUCUGGGUUUGCGGUAAGUGUGAAGUCAGCUCGAGAUUCUCUCUCUCCCUCUUCUUCUGCCCCUCCCCCUGCUCUCUUUCUCUCUCUCUAAAUAAAUAAAUGAAUCUUUAAAAAGGUUUCAGGGUAAGACUGAGUCUAGACAUUGAUUUAAUCAUUUAAGAAUUUGCCUGGGAAUAACCGCUGACUUGGGUGACUUGUUUAUUGUUUCCAGUAGAGAUUCUGUUAUUGUCAGACAUUUCAAGUAUUGUCCUGGUUUGUUUUACUGUCUCCCUUUCAUUUAUUCCUUAAUUCACAUGUCCAACAAAUAUUUGUUAAGUGCCUUCCAUCUGCAGACAUUUUCAUGAUCCUCGGCUCCUCCUCCAUGGAAAGCUGCCCCCCACCUUUCCCUCCUGCCCCCCUCGCACACUGAGUGCCCUUGAUGUUCCCAGCUGAGGGCAGUGUUUGGAAGUGGCAACCAACUUACCCAUAUUGAAGGGGGAGGAACUGAACCUCAGGAUCUUGGCAAAGCGGGCUGCUAUGGGUAAGGCUGUCUUUGGGUUCUCCUGGCACAGUGCCAGGACUGCCAGACUGGGCCCAUAGAAGGUUGGAGCUGGAGCAUCGGGGCCUGGGAAGGGGACAGAGGGUCUUUGUGAGAUUAACAUUCACCAUAAUGAGGACAUUUGUGAAAAAGGUAAAAGUCAAACAUUUUAAGUAAAAAUUUCUAGAGAACUUGUCCAAAAAGGAAGACUCCCUAUUGGCAAAAGCUAGCUUUAACAUUUCUCAGAAUAAGAAUGUCACCCAGCAGGACAAGAGAAUAAAAGGAAUGACUGUCUUCAGGUGGUGGCAUAAGUCUGUGUCCCCGGGAUAGUGGUCUUCUCUAGUUCAUUGGAAUAGAAAUGAAUAUCUCAUGGUGGGAUUAUCUGAGGGAUCCUGAGUGGAGGUAACUUCUGUCUCUUCCCUCACUUUCCACACACCCAUCUUUUUCUUUCCAGGUUUAAUAUUCUCAGGAAGGACCAUUUGCCUCAGUCUCCCCUCCCUUCUGAUGAGGUCGUACUUGAAGGUGGCCAGGUUUCCAUUUGUCUCUGUAGAAUUGAUACUUUAUUCCCAGGGUCUUUACAGGAGGAGUUGAGGGCCAUGAUAGUAAGGGCGAGCUGACCAAUGGUUAGGUCUGUGGAGGAGAGAACAAAAUAGUCACAAAGAUAUUCUCAGGGGAGAGUGUGCCAGGGGCCAGGGCUGAGCUCUCUGCUUCUUGUCCAGAUCAUUUUGAUUUUUAAUAACACGAUUGGAUUUUUUUUUUUUUAAAUUUUAUUUUUAAGCAAUCUCUACACCCAGUGUGGGACUCGAGCUCAUAACCUGGAGAUCAAGAGCCACGUGUUACCCCCACUGAGCCAGCCAGGUGCCUCUAGAUAGUUUUUUGAUCUUGUUUUUCUUAAGCAAAGAAGUAUGGAAAAAUGCUCAAGGAGUGUUUAACCUGGUGACCACUGUGUGACUUGGCAACUUCAUCAGGAAUCCCCUGUAUCUAUUUUAGAAAAGCAGCAAGAGCACCCAUACAGAUUCAUACCUGAAAAUAACUUUAUUAUCUAACUUGAUCCUCAAGGCAACUCCUGUGAAGUAGGCAGAACUGAGAUUUGAUUAUUAUUAUCAUUGUUAUUAUUACUGUUAAUGUCCUUGUUAUUAGAAUCAUCUGUAUUUUGCAGGUGAAGAAGUGAGGUUGGUGCAGAUCUGUUCAGGGUCACAGAGUUAGUAAGUGGUGGGGCCAGAGCUGCAAGCCUGCUCUUUUCACAUCUGGGCUAUGGCUGCUUCUGCUUUCCUGUCCAGCUCUACAAAUGCUCUGACUGCACACACCUUUCUUUCCAGGUGCAUAGGGAAAGACGUUUGGGUGAUUCACGUACUGUCGCAGGUGGCAUUGGGGUGGGGGGGCGCGGGGCUGGGAUCUGGGGCUGGAGAAUCAGGGAGCACGUGGAGGGGCUCUGACUUCUCACCGGCUGUGUCACUGGCCAUGAGCUUGUCAGUCAGGAGCUUCUGGGCCUCCACGUUGUAGGCUCCGGCCAGGUUCAUGGCAAUCAGGACGCUGGGAUUUGGGUGGGCGGAGCUGGUCACAGAGUUCUCCAUGAGCACUUGUAUGCCAUCAACCAAGGACUGCUGUGCCAGGGGAACCGCUGAGAGGAGAAAAGUCAUUUAGUAAACCCCUAAUCCUCUCUCUCUCAUCUCAGAAACAUGUUUCCCAAGUGUCUGUCUGUUAGAAGAUGGGAUUAGUUAGCAUUAGUAUUCUCAGGGACACCCUCUGUGGGGGUGAUUAUUAUUAUUAUUAUUAUUUUUGGAGGGGGGUGCUUAUUAAAGAGAGAUGGAGAAAACGUUGAGAUUUUUCUUUUGAGGCCAGUUAGACCCAACAUCUUCUCAAAUAACCCUUAUAUUUAUCAAAGUGGUUUCUGACUUAGGAAGUUCAAGCAAUAUGGCUCAUGGCCAUUUCAUAUUAUUUCUAGCAUAUUCCUAGAAAUCACUAAUUUCCUUGCAGUUUUUUCUCACUCUUUUUUUUAAAGUUAAUUUUUUGGGGGUG